GAAGAAAAUAUCCUGUGAGAAAUCAGGGAAGAGGCAGAGCCAUGAGGUCCUAAAGGAACCCUCUAGUCCUGGAUUCAAGAGAAGUUUCCAGAACUGUGAUUACAGACUCAAGACAGGAUCAGGAAACAUGAGGAAAGUACACAUGUGGGGACUGGAACAACCACCCUCCCGGGGGUCUGUCCUCAGCAGUGACCUUCCCUUCUGUCCUGUAACUGUUGGGAAUCAGGUCCCCAUCACCAGACUCAUCAAGGUGAUAAAUUUGUCCUUCAUUUCCACAUGCGCUUUACUAAAGAGUAAGUGUUAGCAAACAGGGCCCCAGGCGAGGAAAGCACAUGUGCCUGUGGAUGGGACUUCCCAUUAACGAGGCAGGACAAACUUCUACCUGGGCUUGAAACUCCCCAAUGGGACAAGAAAACUCUGACCACACUCCUUGCCUACCUGAGCCCUUCUUCCUCCAGAUCACAGCUCCAGCCACCACAGCUCCAAGGAGACCCAGGCGA